AAACCAGGCAAAACAAACAAACAUUAGUAUGCUCUGGUCCAAACAAAACAAUCUCUGAGUGGUGAAAAUGUUCAAAUUCCUGAAGAUGAUUUGACUCAAAAGUAGACAGUGUGAAACGAAAUAAAAACAUUUAAAACUGGGCAAAAACAUCAGUGUGCCCUGGUUCAAACAAUAUAAUCUUUUUGUGAUCAAAAUAUUCAAAUGUCCUCAGGACGACA